rnacentral:rRNA from 1 species
UGGGGAAUUUUGGACAAUGGGGGCAACCCUGAUCCAGCCAUGCCGCGUGAGUGAAGAAGGCCUUCGGGUUGUAAAGCUCUUUCAGGUGGAAAGAAAUCUCCCGGGUGAAUACCCUGGGAGGAUGACGGUACCAUCAGAAGAAGCACCGGCUAACUACGUGCCAGCAGCCGCGGUAAUACGUAGGGUGCGAGCGUUAAUCGGAAUUACUGGGCGUAAAGCGUGCGCAGGCGGUUGUGUAAGACAGAUGUGAAAUCCCCGGGCUCAACCUGGGAACUGCGUUUGUGACUGCACAACUAGAGUACGGCAGAGGGAGGUGGAAUUCCGCGUGUAGCAGUGAAAUGCGUAGAGAUGCGGAGGAACACCGAUGGCGAAGGCAGCCUCCUGGGCCAGUACUGACGCUCAUGCACGAAAGCGUGGGGAGCAAACAGG